rnacentral:rRNA from 1 species
GACAGAGGGGGCAAGCGUUGCUCGGAAUUACUGGGCGUAAAGGGCGCGUAGGCGGAAUGGCAAGUCGGUCGUGAAAUCCUUCGGCUCAACCGAAGAACGUCGAUCGAAACUGCCGUUCUUGAGGAUUGCAGAGGAGACUGGAAUUCCAGGUGUAGCGGUGAAAUGCGUAGAUAUCUGGAGGAACACCGGUGGCGAAGGCGACAUCCUGGACCGGUAUUGACGCUGAGGCGCGAAAGCCAGGGGAGCAAACGGG